UUCCACUCUUUACUGGGAGCUAUCGACAUGCAUCGGAGAGCAGAAGUUGGCCUCCAAUACCUGUGUGCACUUCCUAUUAACAUAAGCAGCUUUGGGCACUAUGGCUUACUGCUGAGAUAUGAAAAUCAUUACAGGUCGCUGAAGGACAAUGGAGCUAUUUACACCAGACUCACUUCUUCAAUGAGGCCCGACACAGUAACCCAUGCCAUUUGUUUGCCUUCUCUACCCUAUUUAUAGGGGAGUGAAAGAGAGAAGGGAAAAUGGAUGACUACAGGAAGAAGAAAAAAGCCACAGAAAACACUAUGACACUACGCCCCAUAUUCUUCAUAUUGUUAUGAUAUGAUUAUGGCAUAACUAUGAUGUAUUUUAUGCAAGAUAGGUCAUGUAAGAUAUAAUUGAAAAGGUUAUGAUUCAUUGAAUAUGAUUAUCCUAUUUGUAUGCAUGUAUCAUUUUGGUAUCUGAAGUUAAGAAUAUUGUCUAUGUAUCUAUUACAAAUGUGUUUACACCUGGGGAACACCCACUAGACAGAAUGCAAUCAGUCUAGAUGGCUGGCUGGGAAGGGCCAUUAGGGAGAAUUAUAAGUCUUAAAAGACGCUAAUCUCCUACCUGGGAGGAUGCUAUAAACAGCCUCCAAGUCAUGGUUGCUGUUUCCCUAUAGGGGCAUGUGACCAAGUCACCUGGUACUGGACUCCAUCAUAGAAUACCAGUGUUUUUCCACUGAAAGGCAUAGGAACCAAGCUUGGAGACAAAGGGUUCCCACCAUAUGCAAAAGCUAUUUAAGGCAGGGGAAUUACAUCAGCGUGGUUCUUCACUGACUCCCCAAACAAAGGAAACUCUUGGAAACACCUGAGGAACAAGGACUGAAUUGGAGGGAAAGGGCUGAACCCAGGCUAGAGGGAUUUCUAGCCUGUGAAAAGAAUAUCUGGGGUUUUAAGAUGCAAGCAAGGGCAGCUUGCCCUCAAGAAUCUCUGAAAACUGCCUGAACCAACAAUUAGGGUGAGAAUUUGCUAUUCAUAUCCAAUUUCUUUAGUAUAUUAAGCUUAGAUUGCAUUUUUGUU